rnacentral:rRNA from 1 species
UACAGAGGUCUCAAGCGUUGUUCGGAUUCAUUGGGCGUAAAGGGUGCGUAGGCUGGCGCGGUAAGUCGGGUGUGAAAUUUCGGAGCUUAACUCCGAAACUGCAUUCGAUACUGCCGUGCUUGAGGACUGGAGAGGAGACUGGAAUUUACGGUGUAGCAGUGAAAUGCGUAGAGAUCGUAAGGAAGACCAGUGGCGAAGGCGGGUCUCUGGACAGUUCCUGACGCUGAGGCACGAAGGCCAGGGGAGCAAACGGG